GAUAAAUGAAUUGGACUGAUACCGAACUGGCAAGUAACGUGAGGUUUUUUUAAAUAUAAUUCAAAAUUUGAAAUGAAAAUAUUUAACAAAAUUGAUGAUAUUAUCACGGACUUGUUGACUGUUAUUGCAUCUCCAGAAAAUAAACAGAUAUUAUUAAAUUUAGAAAAUAUUUGGAAAACUAAUAAGCAUUUGUGCACUAAAAUUUUCAGUAAAGAAGUAGAAGCAUAUCUUGCAGCUAGUAAAAAUCCUUAUAAAUUGUCAUUAUAUCUUUCAAUGAAUGCUUUUGAUUAUUUUAAUUUUAAAAAUUCUAAUUUUUCUCAUUCUAUUCUGAUGAUAUUUGAAAAUUGGAUUAAUAAAGAUGAAAAGUAUUUACAUUUAAUUAAUGAAGAUUUACAAAAAUGUGCCCUUGUGCUCUCAACCAGAAAUCAUACAAAUCUGUUUACAAUUAUUGUGUCACUAUUUCAGCUUAAAACUAUGAAAUCAAGCUUCCUAACAACUUUUGUGCAAGCUUUAUUAUAUGAGAAAAAAUAUUUAAAAGCUUCCAUAAUUGUGAAAGAGCUAGAUAUCUAUUGUGUGGUAGACAUAUAUAAAGAAAUAUUAUUGCCACUAGCAUUGAUUAGUAAUGCAAAACCAAUUGAAAACUUUUUGAAUAAAAUGCCAAAGGAACAAAAAAUAUUUGUUCAAAUGCUUGAUCAUUAUAUUGGUAAUAUUCAUAUUCUACAAGAAUUUGUACAUCAUAUUGAAUGCAAUGAUAUCAAAAUUUCCUUG